rnacentral:rRNA from 1 species
CGCGUAGGUGGUUUUGUAAGUCAGAGGUGAAAUACCACGGCUCAACCGUGGGGGUGCCUUUGAUACUGCAAGACUUGAGUACAGGAUAGGUGAGUGGAAUUCCAGGUGUAGCGGUGAAAUGCGUAGAUAUCUGGAAGAACACCGGUGGCGAAGGCGGCUCACUGGACUGAUACUGACACUGAGGCGCGAAAGCGUGGGGAGCAAACA